rnacentral:rRNA from 1 species
GCAGCCGCGGUUAAACCAAGAUGAUCAAAUUAUAUAUAUUUACGGUGAAAAAAUAGUUAAAUUUUAUAAAGUUUAAUAAAUAUUUAUAAAAGAGUAAAAUCUGCAAAUAAGUAAAAGGUUCUAUUUAGACUUAAAUAUUGAAGCUAUGAAAUCCCUGAGGGAAACUGGGAUUAGAUACCCCAUUAUUCUUGGAUAUAAAGUAACUAUAGUUUACCAGAGUACUAUGAAUUAAUAAUUUAAAACUUAAAGGGCUUGGCGGUGUUUUAGACCUUUUAGGGGAACCUGUCUCAUAAUCGACAAUCCACGUUAAACCUGACCCUUUUUUGCACUCAAUUUGUAUACCGUCGUCGUCAGGUAACUUUUUAGAGGAAAGAAGUUAGCAAUCAAAUUAUAGUAAAUUUAUACGUCAGAUCAAGGUGCAGUUAAUAGAAGGAGAGAGGAUGGGUUACAAUUAUUAAAUUAUAAUUACAGAAAGAUUUUUGAAAUAAAAUCGUGAAGGAGGACUUAAAAGUAAGAUAAAACAUAUAAACAUUCUGAAUAAGGCUCUGAGACGUGCACACAUCGCCCG